rnacentral:lncRNA from 1 species
CAAUUUUCUGGUGAGUCUCUAUACAUCUUUCACAUAUUAUGGAGGUUUCAUGUCUAAGAUGGCUUAAACCUUCUCGAGAUUAGGUGUUAUCCUUUUGUUAGUGACCAUAAAUCUCGAGAACUUUCCCCCUUUAAUAACAAAGAUACAUUUGGUUCGAUUCAAUUUUCAUUCAAUAUUGACGAAGAAUAUAAAAGACCUUUUAUAGAUUUGGAAGUGGUGUUCAAAAGUCAUGCUCUUUAUUAGUAUAUCAUUCAUAUAAGCUUUCAUGUCCUUGACCAAUUUGUCUUUGAAUUAUUGAUUCACCAUCCUUUAAGAAAUGGCUUUUGUAUUCUUAUGCUUAAACGACAUGACCUUAUAACAAAGUUUUCUAUAUUAUCAUGAAAGACAUCCUUUUUAUUGUAUCUAAGGUACAUAGAAAUUUGGUGGUAUUCUAAGUUAGCAUAUGAAGAGCUUGAGAACUCAAAGCUCGUCAUGGAGUCUACUUUGUCAACUUUUGGUAAGGGAAAAUUAUCCUUUAGAAAAGCAUUGUUGAGGUUGUUGAAGUCACUUAUCCAUUCUCCAUUUACCUUCUUCACCACGACCAUAUUGGCAAGCCAUUCAAAGUUUAUCAUCUCCCAAAUAAAACUACCCUUAGGAGUUUAUCCAUCUUCUUAAAUAUCAUCUUAUCUUUUUCACUAAUUUAUUUUGGUGAAUAUGAGGGAAAAAGGUUAACAUUUGACUUGUGGAUGACCACGCAACAUUUGACAUAUAUAGGGGCUCGAAUGAGAAAUUAUCUCUUUGGAUUUUGAGGAGCUUUGUCAAGUUUUUUUCUUCUACUUGGGAUCUUAUCAUUCUCUUAGAGGUAUACUUUUUAUAAUUUUUAUAUCACUUUGAUACAUGUUUCCUUUCUUUCUUUCAUAAACCCUUCUUAUGUUAUUUGAUUCAUUCAAAUUUUUUUAUAAAAAAUCACAUGGUCAAGUACAACAUGUUGAUGACAAUGCUGAUUUCAUGGAGGAAUGGUUUUUCAAUGAUGACAUUAUAGACCAAAUA